UGUCAGGAGUCGCGCAACGAAGGCUGGUUAACCCCGUCAGGACCGGAAGGUAGCAGCGGUAGCCGGAUCAUUCGUGUGCCGCGGUAAGCCUGAUAGCA
rnacentral:SRP_RNA from 1 species